rnacentral:rRNA from 1 species
GACGUAGGUGGCAAGCGUUGUCCGGAAUGAUUGGGCGUAAAGCGCGCGCAGGCGGUUUGGCAAGUCCAUGGUGAAAGGGCGGGGCUUAACCCCGCGAGGGCCGUGGGGACUGCCAGACUGGAGGCAAGCAGAGGCGUGUGGAAUGCCGGGUGGAGCGGUGAAAUGCGUAGAGAUCCGGCAGAACACCAGAGGCGAAGGCGGCACGCUGGGCUUGGCCUGACGCUGAGGCGCGAAAGCGUGGGGAG